AUGCACCCACACUGUAAAAUGUCUAUAAUGAGACUCUUUCUUGAACAGGCACUGAGAGAUAAUGUGAAGGUAUCUAUACAGAAUGCGCAUGUCCUACAAGACUUGGGGACUUCAGGCCUGUAUACAAGUUCAAGCUAUUGUACUGCAAACUGUCUAGCCAGGAAGCAGCAGAGAAACACCUGGAUGCUCCUUACAUCAACUCUUCAGAAUGUAUUCAACGAGUUUGUUGAUUUUAGCUUUUUAAACUAACACUGAAACUUCAAAUUAUAGAUCUGGCACUUUCAUUAGAGAUCAUUUGGACUAAACAAUACAUUGUAGAGAUGAGAGAAAGCUGAGAACCAGAAAAAUAAACAUGCAAGUAACAAACAUGAUAAACAUGAAGAUAACAAGGCCAGCUUUAAGAACUAGCUCACUGGACUAAGUCCAGAUGCCAGGCUUGAUUAUACCCUGGGCAAACCAAUUCGCACUAGAAAAAAGAGAACCGUGAAGUUCAUCAAAUGGGUACUUUAUUGAUCCUUUAUAGCAGGGAAAUGUGAUCAUAUUUGCCUUAAGAAAAUAAUUUGGCAUACAUAUUGUGAUUGUGCAUUUAAAAUCUGAAUUGUGGCCCAAAGGAAAGAAAACAGGGCUGAACGCUACAUAUUUAGACCCAUAUUCUCUUUACAAUUACUCAAAUUUUUGUCUUAUAAUAAUUGAUAGUAAUAAAAAGUUGUGGAGCAGAAAACAAAAGAAAACAAAAAAACAUGUUGUGGGCUAAGAAUAAGCCAUGGAAUUGUGAGGCCUUUCUGAAAACAAUUGUACACUUUCAUGAAGCAAAAUCUAUUAUUGUGUCAUAUAUUCAUAGUGCACAAUGUAGCAUCCAUCCACCCAUUAAUACUGUAAGCCACUGGGCAAAAUGGCAGGCACAGUGAAGAAUACAGAGAGUAAGAUUCUGAAUUCAUCAGAAAUGAUGACCGAGAACAAUAACAUGCAGCUUUGCUUAUACAGAUGCUCAGCUGGAUUGUCAGUGUCAUCUGCUUCUGGAAUAUCCCACAGUACUAUGAGCUUUUGGGAGACAUCGAGACACAAACCACAACGAUAAUACUACAGAUAACCAUCACAACUGUCUAUUAUCAACUUGCAUCAUUUGUCAAUAAAAAUUGGGGGGAGAUCCUGAUGUUUGAAAAGAAUGCCCUCAAACCCUGUCUGAAAAUUAUUUUAGUCAGUUAAAUUACAUGUGUGCAUAUGUAUUUACACACUAGCUCUUAAUUUCUCAGCAGUCAAUUCUUUCUCCUAUACAAGGAGACAAAUUAAACACUGAGCACAGGGCCUGAUGCAUAAGAUGGAAGUGUGGCCCACAUUGCUUAGAUACCUUUCUUUCUUAUAUAAACUGCUGUUUCUUCACGUCGCCUAAAAUAUUUUUAGGUAAAUACUGUGGUAGAGGCCCGUCUUCGUUAGUCAGGAGGCUGAGGUGGAGAAUUCAAGUUGGAGAUCAGCAUGGGCAAAUUAGCAAGGUCUUAUUUCAAAACAGAAAUUAAAACAGGCUGGGGAUGUAGCUCAGUGGUUGAACACUUGCACUGCAUGUGUGGGGUACUGGGUUGAAUUUUAGUACUACUUCAAAACAAAAAGAAAUAAUAAAAAUUCUGUUUUUAGUGAUCCAUUCUCCUUUAAAGAAUGUAUGUAAUGCUUUGACUGCUGAAAGUACCUGUAUGUGCUUGCUGAUCAUCUGUAACAUGCUCAGGUUUGAGAGAACAAAGGUGAAAUGAAAUGAGCAAACC
rnacentral:lncRNA from 1 species